rnacentral:rRNA from 1 species
UACGGGGGGAGCAAGCGUUGUCCGGAAUUACUGGGCGUAAAGGGCGUGUAGGCGGUAUUGUAAGUCAGAUGUAAAAGGCUACGGCUUAACCGUAGAUUGUCAUUUGAAACUGCAGUACUUGAGUGCGAGAGAGGGUAGUGGAAUUCCCAGUGUAGCGGUGAAAUGCGUAGAUAUUGGGAAGAACACCAGUAGCGAAGGCGGCUACCUGGCUCGUAACUGACGCUAAUGCGCGAAAGCGUGGGGAGCGAACAGG